UACCUACGGGGCGCAGCAGUGAGGAAUAUUGGUCAAUGGACGAGAGUCUGAACCAGCCAAGUAGCGUGAAGGAUGACUGCCCUAUGGGUUUUAAACUUCUUUUAUACAGGAAUAAAACGAGGCACGUGUGCCUUUUUGCAUGUACUUUAUGAAUAAGGAUCGGCUAACUCCGUGCCAGCAGCCGCGGUAAUACGGAGGAUCCGAACGUUAUCCGGAUUUAUUGGGUUUAAAGGGAGCGUAGAUGGGAUGUUAAGUCAGUUGU
rnacentral:rRNA from 1 species